UGCUCCAUCGUGUGGUGGUCCUCCGUCUUGCCCCUGCUCUGGUGAGUGGCGGAUCUUGCCGGCGGCGGCUGGCGGAUCUUGCCGGCGGCGCGCGGAGUCCUGCUACCGACCGUCCGGGCCGUCACGCCUGCUGCUUUUUCGGUUUGUGCGGCAUCGAGGCCUCAGCCGUAGCCGUCCUGCUGUCGGCGCGCUUGGGGCCUUCUGCCGCCCGGCCAUGCCGCCACGCUUGUUGCUGCUUUUGGGUCCUGCUGCCGCCUGUUCGUGCCACCGCGCCGGUCGCCACUUUGGUCGUUGGGUUGCUGAGUUUUCGACCGCGGCCCUGCUUGUGUCUGAUGGUGCUGUUGUGCCGGUUUGGUCGGAGUUCGCCCGCGAGGCGGCGGCUGGAUCACGGAGGCUCCCGCCUAGUUAUGCAAAAGAUAAUCAGAAGAAUUUCACUUUGUUUAAUCGCAGCUCAGUUUCAUAUUCGGAGGCUCAUGCGAGGUCAUUUGGGGUCCACGCGCGACAGUGCAGCAGACAGACAGGGGGUAUUGCCUUCUUUUCAGCACGAACGGCCACUUAGACUCAUUUGGCGACAUGAUGAUUCUAGACCUGCUGAUUGGUUGAUGUUUCGAAGGAGCACGACCGGCAUGCCUACUUUCAGCUUAAGCUCGUGGUUUGGGAUACCAGGGAACUUCAAGCUGUUUAGAAAUUCUGUAGGAUACAGCUGGUCCAUGCUGCUAUUGUUUGUAGAUGCUUUGCACACGGUGUCCGAGCUAUGGUAUGUCACUUCCUCGCCUUCUAUUUGCUUCAUUAUAUAUUCAUUUAUCUCCUCGACAGUUUCAUUCCUAGGGCAUAAUAUUGCUCUUUCUUCUAGGAAUUUUGGAUCUUUGUAGUUGGACAGUAAGUUUGGAUAUAUGAUGUUUACAAUUGUCUCUCUUGGGUCAUUUCCUUUCUCUAGAAGCAAGUCUCUGGGAAUUUGUAUUCACUCAUCUCCUUCAUCUGAUGUUGUUUUCCCAUAACCAAUAUUCAGUAUCCACUCAGCAAAUUCAUUUACUUCCUUAUGUUUUUCUGUGUCGUUAGGCAUACAGGUGAGUCGCAUGUUUUCUGUCAGUUUGAAUAUUUCGAAAUGGUUCCAUAGGUAUGAAUGUUUGACUGAUGCGCUGACUAUGUGUUCUCUUCUUCCUUUGGGGACCACCGGCAGGAUUUGUCGAAAGUCUCCUCCUAGCACAACAGUCAUCCCACCAAAUGGCUUUUCAUUGCUGUUCUGGUUGGUAAAUCUGAGUAUAUCCCUGAGACUUUUGUCUAGUGCCUCAAAGCAAUUCCUGUUUGCCAUUGGAGUUUGAUCCCAAAUAAUUACUGAGGUCUUCUUUAGCAGCUCUGCGAGAUGGGUUCUUUGUUUAAUUUCACAUGUGGAUUCGUCUGUUAUGUUAGUUGGAAUUCUGAAUCCGUAGUGUGUUGUUCUUCCGCCUGGUAUUAGUAGGGCAGCUAUAGCGCAUGAUGCCAUAGUAAGUACUAUCUUUCCUUCAGAUCGUAGCUUUGUUGUAACGGCUUUCCAUAGGUAUAUCUUACCUGUACCGCCGUGGCCUUCGACAAAUAUUUGUUUUCCAAAUCCAUUAUCUACCGACUCCAUUAUUGCAUCGUAUGCUUUUUUUUUGCUCAGGAUUUAUGUUUCUGAGUAUAGUUUGUAGUUCUUCUUUCAAACUGUCCCUGUCAUAGUUGAGCUUUUCAUUUAUCAAUCUGUUCCCAAGUUCCUGUAGCUCAUCUACAUUUGGCAAUUGUAUAUCUGGGUAAUUUUUUAGUGACCUUCCUAUUUGUUGCAUCAGCUUCUCUAUUUCAAUCAAAGUGUAUGCCUUUUUCUGAGAUGCAGUUAACUGCAGUGUUGGAAACUUCAGAAUUAUUCUUCUCUUGUGCUGGAUGUCUUCUGAUAGUGCCUCCCAGGUUGACUCCCAAAGCCUUUUUGGUUCAGUUACUUCACAAUGGCACAAAAUGGUUGUGAAUAGUUAUCGUAGUUGGGUUCCAGUAGCCCAGUUAGCUGCUUAGUUGACACACUCGAUCCAUUCAUUGUCGUCAUCAAAAAAACCCAUGGCCUGGCAUGCUGCUUUAAAAGUUGCAUGUACAACUCCAGCCACUGUUCUUAUGUCUUCAUAUGAUGUGCAUCCUUUGACAGUCUCAGUGGGAGUUUGAUACUAUGGAGAAUAUAUUAUAAUGGUACUGUAAGAAGGCAUAUAAGAUGAUAUUUAUUAGCACAUCCUAAUAUUUUCUAUACUUUGCGGUGGUGCCUUUUACUCAUAGCUUGCGUUGGAGUGUUCCUUUGAUCUUAUUGGUCACAUCUCUGACUGCUAUGUGUGCACACCUACACAACAACAAAAAUUAAUUUGUGGUAAAUAAUUAACUAUUGUAAUAAUUAAUAAAUGAUAAAAUGACAAUAUUGUAUAAAUUGUUAUAUACCUAAGAUUUAUAUCUUGCAGGAAUUUCUUCUAAUUCUUGAUGAUCUGUAAAGAGUUGGAGGAUCAUCUUCAUGCACGGGUAUGUUCUCGACCUUAUUCUUGCUUUUAGUAUUCUCCUCUGUUGGAAUGAUGUUGAUAUCACUGAUGCUCUGAGCAUUUUCCUAUUCUAAAUUAUUUGAUUACUCUUCUUGCUACAUAAGAAAAAGGCUUGUUAGUUUAAAUAUCAAUUGAAUUAAUAUAGAAGAAACAUGGGUAUGUUCUCGACCUUAUUGUUGCUUUCAAAAUUCUCCUCCGUUGGAAUGAUAUUCAUAUCACUAAUGCUCUGAGCAUUUCUUGUUCUAAACUAUUUGAUUUCUCUUCUUGCUACAUAAGAAAAAGACUUGUUAGUUUAAAUAUCUAUCGAAUCAAUAUAGAAGAAACAUGUGGUUGUUAUAGUACCAGAUCUGUCGUAGUUCCUGUGUCCAAUAUAGUUUUGUUGCCCCUCUUUUUUCUGUAGGAACAUUUCUUCAACUUUCUUGUUGGACUUCCUGUUUCUCUGUCACCAUUGUGUUUAACAAUUACAUCUAAUGGGACAGAGUUGAAUUCAAUGUUAUUUUCAGCAUUUUUUUUGAUGGAUCAGUUUUCAUAUCUCUGUUGCUUUCAGUAAUCUCCUCUUCUGAAAUAAUUUUGGUACCAGUGCUGCUAUGAGAAUUUUCCUGUUCUGAAGUACAUGUUUGUUGUUCUUGCUACAUAAGAGAAAAGCUUGUUAGUUUUAAUAUCAAUAUAAUCAAUAUAGAAGAUGAAACAUGUGGUUUUUGUAAUACCAGAUCAGUCAUAAUUUCUGUGUCCAUCACAAUUAUGUUGUCACUCUUUUUUCUAUAGGAAUUUUUCUUCAACUUUUGGGUUCGCCUUUUGGAACCUUUGACACCAUUCUUUAACACUUUAGACUCGCUUUGUUUCACUACUACAUCACGUUUUGGCCGCUUGGUUUUCCUGAGAAUAGAUUUCCUAUUGGUAUGGUCGUUGGUGAUAUCGCUGUUGCCAUCAACAUCUAUCUCUUUUGAAAUAGGUAGACUUUGCUGCAAUUAAAGAAACAGUUAGGACAUAUCUCAGUUAGUUAAUCAAAGUUAAAUAAUAUUUGAAAUUCAUUUGAUACCUGUUUAGUUGAAACUUCCAUGUUGACGGUAUUUUUUCUUCUUUUUCUUUUACCAUGAGCAAUUAUUUCUUCUGACCUAUUCAAACUUUUGUUAGCUCCUUUCAGUAUCUUAGUCUUUUUGGGUUUUUCUGGUACAUCACAUUUCCUCUGCUGAGUAUGAUUGUAAUCAACAUGGGCAUGUUCUUCUAGUCCUUGUGCUAUGUCUUUUGAUUUGGCACGACCUUUUUUAACUUUCUUCCUGGAAACUUUACGCCUUUUUUCUUUUUGUGUUGUUGCUAUGCAAUUUUCAUCCGAGUCAUCAACUACUAUCAAAGCUCCGUGUCUUCUUUUAUUGCUAAGGUUGUCUUUCCUUGAUGUUGGAGAAUUUUCUCUACAUCUAAUGUCUUCUCCACUAUCUUCCAAAACAUCAAAUUCAAUUGAUUCUGAUGUAUUUUUGCAAAGUGAAGCUUUCAUCUUACGUUCCUAUCAAAUGACAUUGUACAUGGUUAGGUAACUUAGCAUGAAAGGAGGAGAAAAACUAUUGUUUUCACAUUCCACAAAAUGACUUUACCUCCAGACCGGGAUCACUCCUAUGCUUCAACUUAAAAUUUCCAUUUAGAUAUUUUAAUUCUUCGACAUCAAUAUAUUUUUGAUGUGUAUCUUUGAUGGUGAGAUCCUACAAACAAAAUUAUAGGGGUAAUUUAUUUUGUACAAAAGAAUAAACUAAUUGUAGUAAUGAAAAUAACCUUACCUUCUCUGCUUGACGAUUUGAAUAUUGCAACUCUAGCUUCUCAUCUGGCUCAAAUGUUUUCUUCACCAGAUAGUACUCUUUCCCUUCAGUCAAAUUUUGCUCCUUCAGCAUGAAACGGAAGAUAAGUGUUUUCCUAUAUAGUUGUUGAAUAACUUUGGGGAUUUCUUCAGAUUUCCCAUUAAGUGAAUCUAGCAGAUCUGUGAUGGUCAUCUUGAGCAUUUUUUUAGCUUCAUCAUCAAAUAUACUACAGGUAGUGGUUGCUGUGUGGUCACUAAUUUGGAGUCGAAUCCAGUACCUAUUAUAGCAUGUUUGUAAGCGUAAAAUUGUAAAUAUAUAGGCAAUAUUUCAAAUAACUAUAUGAUUACCUA